rnacentral:rRNA from 1 species
CAAAUGAAUAGACGGGGACUCGCACAAGCGGUGGAGCAUGCGGUUUAAUUCGAGGCAACGCGAAGAACCUUACCAGGUCUUGACAUCCCGCUGACCGGUCUAGAAAUAGGCCUUUCCUUCGGGACGGCGGUGACAGGUGGUGCAUGGUUGUCGUCAGCUCGUGUCGUGAGAUGUUGGGUUAAGUCCCGCAACGAGCGCAACCCUUAUCAUUAGUUGCUAACAUUAAGUUGAGGACUCUAAUGAGACCGCCGGUGACAAACCGGAUGAAGGUGAGGAUGACGUCAAAUCAUCAU